GCAGGCUUCAGAAGGGAUGGGCCUGGCUAUGCACAGUCCGGGGGAGGAGCGUGAGGUGCGAGGUGGUUAGCUCUGGCUUUGAACUGGUUCCUGUGUUUUUCUAGGGCAUGUGGACCAGGGGUGGGUACUUGAGCAGAAGCCAGAAAUUUGAAAGAAGAGUUUGUGCAGGAGUUACCUUCAAUGUCCGAAAUUAGUGUCCUGUAUGCUUAACAAGAAAUUGUACUUCCUGAUUUACCUACUUGCCCAAUUGCCGCAGUUUCCAACUCUGCAGGGAAAUGUGUGAGUUCCUGCUAAGAAUUUUCUCUUUGGCUGAUUUCUACCAAUUUGACUAUGAUACAUGACUGGAAGAGGAUCUUAUGUUUUACCUACUUAGUGUCCUUUGUAUCACCUGGAUUUGGAUGUCUGCAUGCUUCUCUAAAUUUGGAAAGUUUUCUGCUUUGGAAUAAACCCAGAACCCAUGUGCUUCUGGAACUACAAACUUAAAUGUCUUCAAGGACCCCAGAAUAUCUGAAAUGUCAGAGGUAGCCAAGUAUGUUUCACCUAAAGGCCUUCAGAUUCAAGUUAAAAAAAAAAUUUUUUUAAAGCCCUCCAUACCAAUGGUCUUCAGUUCUGUGUGCAUGCUUCUGCUCAACACUUCAAGCAGUCCUGCAAACACUCACUUCAGCCAAAGGUGCUCAAGACAGCAUCUGAAAGAGGGGCAGCAUGGCUUUCAUCCCUUUUCCUCAUCACUCGUAAGAACAUAGGGCCCAUACCAUCAGCUACCAGGGGCCAGAAGAAGCUUCCUUCAGACAGAGACUAUCUCCGAGGGAGAAAGAGAGGAAGAACAUCAACCUCAGAGGUUACAGAACAUUUCAUUUUUGUUGGGAAAUAAACAAUGAUCUAUAUCUUGGAAUUGCAUAGAAGAUAAUGAACACAAUAAGAAUAGCCCAGAAAAGCAGGACAGAAAAUAGAUGUGGAUGAAAGAUACUGUGUGGCCCUGAUUUGGAGUCUUAGAUUCUAAAACUUCUGAAACCUCCAAGCCUUACAUUUCUCAUUGGUAAAACAAGAUCAUCACCAUCACCUCCUGGAGAUGUUGUAUGUGUCCAGUGAAGCCAUGCAUAGGAGAACACUGCUACGAUUUUGUAAUUUCCACUAUCCACUUACAUGCAUAUAUGCUCUCUGGCUCUGCCUAUGCUCCCUUUCCUUUAGACUUUAUCACCAAAUUGAACCUUUUCCUGAAAGUUUAAUCUCCUCCUCAAAAUAUUGCCUAUUUCGCAGAUAUUUGCAGAUGUCUUUGACCUCCCUCAUAAGUGGCGAGAUAAACUCCUUUUGAUAGUAGGAUAGUGUGUCCCUGAUUCCCCUUCAAUGCCAAGAGGACUAAUACAUUUUGAGGUUUUUUUUUUAACAUCUUUCUUUUCCAGUUGUAAUUGAAUGGAGUAAAAACAAUCCUGGGUCCAAUGCA